rnacentral:lncRNA from 1 species
CCGAUUCCUAAAGCUGUUUUCUAGAUUAAAUAUCAGCCUCAUUUACUAAAGUUUUUGCCUUCUGGUCAUCCUCAGAGUAAAGAGAAAAUUGCAAAAAUUCAGUGAAUAUACUGUUCAUAUGCUCAUGUUUCAACACAUAAUGCUGGCCUUUACUGCAAGGGGUGAGAAGAUAUUUUGGGAAUGGAAGAAAUGUAGCAAAACUCUGAGUUUAUUUAAAGAGACUUGCCUACAUGUGCCUAGCAAAACAAGCUUAUUACAGUUACUGCUUUAGCUUUACACUCAUGUCUAGGAAAUAUAUUCUCAUGUAAAAUGGCAGACUAGCUUCCAACUUUGAAACAUGCAUGCCUGUAGUCUGUAAAUAAUUGUUUCCUUCAUUUCUAUAAAGUACAAAUUGCUUACUAAAUGUUUUUCUUCCUUUCACUCUUAAAUGUAUUUUCCUUUCAUCUUUUCAUUAUGUCAAGACUGCCCUUGACACAAAAUGCUGUGUGUUACAAGUGGAAUUAGUAAUCCAUCACUCAAACAUUACUGGAAAAAGGUUGUAAAUGUACACAUUAUCAUUUCUAGAAUUGUUUUAUUUAAGCAGAAAUUUGGGAAAAACACUGCCAGAUUAAGUUCUGUGAGGUAUACUCAGCUAGAUUAACAAACUUCUGGGUAAAGUAGAGGAAAAUCCACUAAGUAAAAAAAUAAAAGUGUGUUUCUAAAGCUGCAGAUUUGGCAAAUUUUCUCGGCCAUUCUUGAAGUACAGAAAAUUUUAGUACAAAUAUUGUUCUAACUUUAGGUGCUUUUGAGUUUUUUUUUUCUCAAAGAUAUGUAUAUCUCAAGCAAAUUCAAUAUAUUUUAUUAAAUGAGUGUAAGGUAUACAUUUCAAGACUAAUUUUAAAAGUAGUUAUGCAAUGUUUGCAAAUGUUAUAUUGCAUAAAACAGGAAUCACCUUGUCAGAAUAUUAGCAAUGUAUAUUUCAAAAAUUACAAAUUGAUUUUACUUCAAAAUGCUUUAUUCUGAUCUUCCUUUAAACAUACAUUAAAUGCAUUACUGAAAUAUUUAUUUUCCAAGGUUAUUGAGUUGACAUUUUACAUGGUAUCUGAUUUUGUGUGCCUCACUCACAUAUCUUAUUUACUAUUACUAUUUAUUACUAUUAUUUACUAUUACUAUUUAUUACUUAUUUACUAUCUUAUUCACCUCACUCACAUAUCUUAUUUACUAUUUACAGAUGGGGUUAUUAUUUUUUUAAUAAUUUACUUUGGUUUCUAUUUUAUUAUACUAAGUCAGAAUUCUAAAUUACUUGACAUGAACUUUCAGAAUGUUUCAUCUUCAGAAGACUUUUUUUUUUUUUUUUUUUUGCCAAAAAGAACUUAUUUUCAAAGUAAUUAUCUCAAUGGACUUUAUCUUUCAUUUAAUCUCUCAAUAGCUCAUCUUCUAAACUUCGGAAACAAAGGUAAUGCCAUUAAUAAAGUUUGUAAAGCAAGACUCAAAUAAUGCAUAACAUAUAAGUUCAAAUUCAAACAUAUUAUCAUGACAAAUUUAUUUAAAAAGACUUUUUAUAUCCUUAAAAUUGAGGGCUACUUUAUUUUAUUUUAUUUUUUAAGAUUUAUUUAUUUAGUUUAGAAAGAGAUAGAGAGACUCGGGGGGGGGGGGUGGAACGGCAGAGGGAGAGAGAGAAUCCUGCAGCAGACUCCCCACUGAGCGCAGAACCCAACUCUGCUCUAAGCUGGGCUUGAUCCCAGAACCCUAAGAUCAUGAGUUGAAAUCAAGAGUCAGCUGCUUAACUGACUGAGCCACUUAGAUGCCCCAUAAUGGAGGGCUAUUUUACCAUAAUGACAGAUGGCUAGACAAAUCAAAUAUUAUAGAUUAAUAGCAUUGAAUGCCUGUUUUAAAAGUUGAAAAAAAUAAAGAUAAAAGUUGAAU